rnacentral:rRNA from 1 species
CCGUGAGUGGGAAAAAAGGGGGGAAGAGCUGGCGGCGGCCUAACACAUGCAAUCUCGAGCGGUAACACAGAGAGCUUGCUCUCGGGUGACGAGCGGCGGACGGGUGAGUAAUGUCUGGGAAACUGCCUGAUGGAGGGGGAUAACUACUGGAAACGGUAGCUAAUACCGCAUAACGUCGCAAGACCAAAGUGGGGGACCUUCGGGCCUCAUGCCAUCAGAUGUGCCCAGAUGGGAUUAGCUAGUAGGUGGGGUAAUGGCUCACCUAGGCGACGAUCCCUAGCUGGUCUGAGAGGAUGACCAGCCACACUGGAACUGAGACACGGUCCAGACUCCUACGGGAGGCAGCAGUGGGGAAUAUUGCACAAUGGGCGCAAGCCUGAUGCAGCCAUGCCGCGUGUAUGAAGAAGGCCUUCGGGUUGUAAAGUACUUUCAGCGAGGAGGAAGGCGUUAAGGUUAAUAACCUUGGCGAUUGACGUUACUCGCAGAAGAAGCACCGGCUAACUCCGUGCCAGCAGCCGCGGUAAUACGGAGGGUGCAAGCGUUAAUCGGAAUUACUGGGCGUAAAGCGCACGCAGGCGGUCUGUCAAGUCGGAUGUGAAAUCCCCGGGCUCAACCUGGGAACUGCAUUCGAAACUGGCAGGCUAGAGUCUUGUAGAGGGGGGGUAGAAUUCCAGGUGUAGCGGUGAAAUGCGUAGAGAUCUGGAGGAUACCGGUGCCGAAGCGCCCCCUGACAAAGACUGACGCUCAGGUGCGAAGCGUGGGGAGCAAACAGGAUUAGAUACCCUGUAGUCCACGCCGUAAACGAUGUCCACUUGAUGUGUGCCCUGAGGCGUGCCUCCGGAGCUAACCCGUUAAGUCCACCGCCUG